GACGAACGCUGGCGGCGUGCUUAACACAUGCAAGUCGAACGGAAAGGCCCUGCUUUUGUGGGGUGCUCGAGUGGCGAACGGGUGAGUAACACGUGAGUAACCUGCCCUUGACUUUGGGAUAACUUCAGGAAACUGGGGCUAAUACCGGAUAGGAGCUCCUGCUGCAUGGUGGGGGUUGGAAAGUUUCGGCGGUUGGGGAUGGACACGCGGCUUAUCAGCUUGUUGGUGGGGUAGUGGCUUACCAAGGCUUUGACGGGUAGCCGGCCUGAGAGGGUGACCGGCCACAUUGGGACUGAGAUACGGCCCAGACGCGUACGGGAGGCAGCAGUGGGGAAUAUUGCGCAAUGGGCGGAAGCCUGAUGCAGCAGCGCCGCGUGCGGGAUGACGGCCUUCGGGUUGUAAACCGCUUUCGCCUGUGACGAAGCGUGAGUGACGGUAAUGGGUAAAGAAGCACCGGCUAACUACGUG
rnacentral:rRNA from 1 species